rnacentral:rRNA from 1 species
UACGAGGGGGGCAAGCGUUGUUCGGAAUUAUUGGGCGUAAAGGGCGCGUAGGCGGUUUGACAAGUCUGAUGUGAAAUCUAUGGGCUCAACCCAUAGCCUGCAUUAGAAACUGUCGGGCUUGAGUAUGGGAGAGGUGAGUGGAAUUUCCGGUGUAGCGGUGAAAUGCGUAGAUAUCGGAAGUAACACCUGUGGCGAAAGCGGCUCACUGGACCAUAACUGACGCUGAGGCGCGAAAGCUAGGGGAGCAAACAGG